rnacentral:rRNA from 1 species
AGACGUCUACAUUAGAUACCCCGGUAGUCCCAGCCGUAAACUAUGCGCGUUAGGUGUAUCGGUGACCACGAGUCACCGAGGUGCCGAAGGGAAACCGUGAAACGUGCCGCCUGGGAAGUACGGUCGCAAGGCUGAAACUUAAAGGAAUUGGCGGGGAGCACCACAACGGGUGGAGCCUGCGGUUUAAUUGGACUCAACGCCGGGAAGCUCACCGGAUAAGACAGCGGGAAUGAUUGCCGGGCUGAAGACUCUGCAUGACUAGCUG